rnacentral:SRP_RNA from 2 species
GGGCUAGAUGGAGAGUUAGCGGUGCUCUGUAACCCACAAUCCGCUACAGUGGGGUUGAAUGCUUAUAGCGGUUUAAAUUUUUUAAAUAUGUGCAUAUAUAUUUCGUGAUGAAAUCAAGGUCUUAUGCAAUCAAAAUCCCUGAAUCAUGUCAGGACCUGACGGUAGCAUCAUUAAGGGGACACUUUGAUGUGCCAUGAGGAAGCUUUGGUGGAGCGAGAU